CUAUUUUUUUAUUUUGGGUAUAGUAGUAUUUUUGUUUUUAUUUGCUAAUUAUAUUUAAUUAUAAACUAACUAGAAUUAAAAAAAUUAUCUUGUGAUUUAUAGACAAAUUAUGAGUUUUUAUUUUUGUCUAUAUUUAAUGUUUCAUGAUGUGCCGCAUGAUUCAAUGUGAUGUAAAAUCUUGAAAAGUUUUUUAUUUUUAAGGUGAUCUAAAGAAGGUCAUAUACAUAUAUUCCUUUUGCAUGUAAAAGUAGAUACUGAAACAAGAGAGAUUACCGAGGAUCGUUCUCUUGAUCAGCAACCUCCGGGAGAGAGAGAAAAGGGGUAGCCAAGAAAUGUCCCUUUGGAAAACCUGUUAAUUUCCACACGUAAAGGAAAAAAAGAGCAAUGAAAGUAAGUAGUAGACCUCAUGUUGUGUUACCUAAACCGAAAGGAUCGUAUUCUUCUUAUAAUUUUAACUACAAAUGUGGAAGUUCUUGUGACAAAUUGAAGGAGAAAAGGGAGCAUAAAAGAUGGACUAAAAGGAGACCAGAACAAAAUAAACAUGGUAUAUCCAUUUGAGUUUCAUAUUUCGCCGUCCAAAAUCAUGGCAAAUCCUAAGGUGUCACCUUUUAAGUUCUAGAUCGAGAUGCUUCGUCGCAGCAAACUAUUUAUAGUUUUCUAAUUUUACGUGCACAUUUUAUUCUUCUAAGUUUCACAUUAAACAAUCCAAAGCAUCACCCAUUUAGCUUUUUAUUAGAUGCUUCUUUACACCAAUGG
rnacentral:lncRNA from 1 species